ensembl:lncRNA NUP93-DT NUP93 divergent transcript
GGGCCAAACCGUCACCCCUGGGCCACAGGCAGCCACGGACCUCGCCUUUCCCACUUGGUUAGAGUCGGCUCUGCCGGGAGAAAGCGAUUCCAGAAUUCCCUAAGUUAAAGGAAUUUCUUACUCCUUCUUGAGCGCCAUCCAAGGGCCAGGCCUUAGUCUAGGAACUGGCAACACCGUGGCGACCACGUCAGACAAGAUCGCUGCCCUCAUUGAGUUCCCAGCUGGAGGUAGAGGACGGAAACUCAAAAGAUGAUUGAAGAUUAAAAAACAAGAUGAUUGAGGCUGGACUUCUCAAAACCUUGCUGCAGCCUGAGCUUGAGCGUUUGUGAGCUUUGCAGCCAGAUAUGAACAGAAGACAGAUUCAUUUCCUGCUGCCUGCUUCUCCAACCCCAAAUCUCCCAGUUUGAUCCGAGAGCCCUGAAGAUUUGCCUUCACCCGGCGCCCCCCAGAUGCUUCUUUUUAAGCCUUGCUUGUAAAUAGGUGUCAGUAAGGGUCUCACCAUGCAGGAUGUGGGCGUGUGGGUGCUCCAGAUCCCCACACCGGCUGUCACCAUCCCCCUGCUGUUGCCAGUGCAUCCCUUGAGGAUGCCUGGCAGGUUACACCCCACCCCGGGGGCAAAUGGUGACUGACAACAGAACAAGUGCUCACCUGCUUGCCCCACAGCAGGACAGUUCAGUGGGAGGAAUUUGUUCUAGAGCACCCUGGAUCAGGCCAAGGCUUUCCCCUUCCAUAUUCGGCUUCUUUUGCUCCUCUAAUAAGUCACGCAUGUGGAGCCCUAAGGAGCUAAAAGAAAAUUGGAAAUGAGCUUAGCUGGCAAGAACAGACACAGGGGUAGAGGGGAGUGAAUGUUCUGAGAAAUAGGGUCAACAGCAAACAGCUCACUAGCACCCAAACAUCCUGUUGCAAGCAUUCAGCUCACAGCCCACCUGCACCCAAGCUUCCUGUCUGCAAGCCUUCAGCCCAGACAGCACAACUUUAUAAAGUCCCCUGCAGCCCCUGCCUUUUUGCAGACAGCAUUCCCUCUGCUAUGUUGCUCGUUGCUCCCUUGGAACAUAUGUCCCGCUUUUCUCUAAUAAAUCUACCUUUCUUUCCCAACAA